rnacentral:lncRNA from 1 species
UAAAAUAUUAAUAUUUACAUAAUUUAUUGAUAUAAUAUUCAAUUGUUUGAUAGGUAAUUAAUACAUUCCGACUCACCCAGCAAGAACAUUUUUGUGGUGACAAGGUAAAGAGUAGGAUGACAAUUGGAUGACCCAAAACUUAGACCUCAGUAAGUGAAAAACGUGUUGUUAUCAAUGCUCCUAACUUGUAUCAUUAUCUAACAAGAUUUUCCAGGCAGUGGCAGCUUUAGAAUCCUAUCUUCUCUCAGUUUCCUUUUCCUAGUAGCUGCCAGUUAGGAUGCCAACCAUCCCUGAUUUUAUGUAGGAUGAUGAUAGCCAGGGGCAAAUGAGGAAGACUCACAGAAAUCUAGGACUAAAUAUAAGAAUUUUAAAAAUGGGAGAUUUUUAUGGUAAAGAAUGUGAGGUUUGUAGUUUUUUAAUCUCCACAGGAGAAAUGAACAAAUGAUUCCAUGUAAGAACACUGGAAGAUACUAAAUUCCACCUUGAUAUUUUCCAGGAAUGUCAGUCACAUCCUCAGUCUUGGUUGACUUCCUGAAAGUGUCCUCUCCAGUCUUGAGGGACCUCCUGCUCCAGGAAGCCUGCCCUGAUGUCCCAGCCAGAGAUGGUCCUCUGAAUUUCCCCUGGCCUUCACCUGGCUUCUCUGGGAGCACAGUCACAAUUCAUUGUAUAUUAUCACUAAUUGGAUACUUAUUUCAUGUCCUGUGUUCACAGUGGUAACUAGCAUGUAUACAUUACUUAUAGUUUGAUAACAGCCUUUCUUUCACAUCUACUAAAACAAUGAUAAUUCCUAAUAUUAAUUAUAUUUGCUGUGGGUCAAGUAUUCAUUUAGGGCUUUACUUGGAGUAUUUCAUGUAAUCCCCACGCAGCCCUGUAUCUCUACUAAAAAGAGGAAAAAUUAGCUAGGUAUGGUGGCACCACCUGUAGUUCCAGCUACUCAGGAAGCUGAGGCAGGAGAAUUGCUUGAACCUGGGAGGCGGAGGUUGCAGUGAGCCGAGAUUGUGCCACCACACUCCAGCCUGGCUGACAGAGAGAUUCCGUCUAAACAAACAAACAAAAAAAGCUUUGCUACUCUAAGCACUAACCGCUUCCUCCUCCACCUUCCCUUCUCAGCUUUCCUUCCCAGAAUGCAGAUGCUAUCCUGGAGGGCGAGCUGCCCAAAUGGGAUGUGGAGGCAGCAGCAUGACGACAAAAGAUGCAAUCUGAAGCUGGUGGAGCCACAGGACGGGAGCUGGACAGUGAGGGUUUCAUGGAGGCCGUGCACAGGACUGCCCCCAUCUGCAGGGACACUGUGGUUAUUCAGUCUUGCUGUGCACCUAAGGGCAGUUGCCAAGCGGUGGCAGCUACAAAGCUGGGGAGGGGCUCUGUGAACCAGGGCCUCCUAUGGCUCCUGUUGGGUUUGGGCCAAUGGGAGGCUCCAAGAUACACCUCAGCCUCGCACUCUUGGCUCCCAUUCUUGGUGGGUACAGGUUCCCCCCGCCUUGUGUCUGCAGGCCUAGCACUGGGAACGACUUCCUUCUGAGCUACUUUCUGAGUGCUUCCACCCCUUCCUGGCUUCCUUAAUCCUACCUGCGCCUCUCCAAAGGGUCCCUUCAUUCAAUUAUCUUCAGUUUAACCCUUUGAGCUGCCAUCCAUUUGCUGCACACAGGGACAGGUGGCUCACUGCUUCACAGGCAGCAACCAUACAACUGUGGCUUGUCUUCCUACGUCUUCUGCAUCUGAAUAACAGUUCCUCCUAAAAUGGGAGUGGACAUGGCGGGGGUGUGGCCCUGAAGACUGCACGUGUGCCUCUGCCACACUUUCUGCCUCUUCUCAAACCAAAAUGUAGAUGCAACUCAGCCUCAGCCUGGCAAACAAGACAGAUGAUGGGAAAGCAUGAGGACAGACACACCCCAGGACCUGGAAUAUUCAUUUGGAACUGCAAGUUCCGUGAGCCUAGUGGGUUCUUAACAGUUAAAUGAUGUCUCUGUCGAGAUUGGUGGUAACCUGUAGAAAUGUGAUUUUUAAAAAUACUUUCCAAAAUUUGUCCACAUUUGAAAGAUUAGCAUAACUCAAUGAAUCACUUUUUUUCAAAUAAUCAAAUAAUGGCACAAAAUUGUGCAC